GUAGGGGGCUAGCGUUGUCCGGAAUCAUUGGGCGUAAAGCGCGCGUAGGCGGCCCGGUAAGUCCGCUGUAAAAGUCAAAGGCUCAACCUUUGAAUGUCAGUGGAUACUGCCGGGCUAGAGUCCGGAAGAGGCGAGUGGAAUUCCUGGUGUAGCGGUGGAAUGCGCAGAUAUCAGGAGGAACACCAACGGCGAAGGCAGCUCGCUGGGACGGUACUGACGCUGAGGCGCGAAAGCGUGGGGAGCGAACAGGAUUAGAUACCCUGGUAGUCCACGCCGUAAACGAUGGGCACUAGGUGUGGGAGGUGUCGACUCCUUCCGUGCCGGCGCUAACGCAUUAAGUGCCCCGCCUGGGGAGUACGGCCGCAAGGCUAAA
rnacentral:rRNA from 1 species